UACGUAGGGGGCGAGCGUUGUCCGGAAUCACUGGGCGUAAAGAGCGUGUAGGCGGCUCGGUAAGUCCGCUGUGAAAGUCCAGGGCUCAACCCUGGAAUGCCAGUGGAAACUGUCGAGCUAGAGUCCGGAAGAGGCGAGUGGAAUUCCUGGUGUAGCGGUGAAAUGCGCAGAUAUCAGGAGGAACACCAAUGGCGAAGGCAGCUCGCUGGGACGGUACUGACGCUGAGACGCGAAAGCGUGGGGAGCAAACAGG
rnacentral:rRNA from 1 species